UAUAAAUAAUUUCAUUUUACUUUUUAUUUACAAGGGAAGAAAAUGGUCUCUGAACAUAGACUGAGGAGCGUCAUGUGACAAUGAUCUAUUCCAACUCCCAGCAGACAUACCACUCACUGGCUCCAGAGGAAUUUAAAUGCAAUUGUAUCAGCAUACAUCUGUGUAUAAUCUCCGCUGUCAUCUUCCUCAUCUGUCAGAGAAUUUCUUUCCUCGUCCCCCUUGCUAGAGUCAAAGCCAUUGGAUUGAUAAAGAAAUCCGUCAUCAUUGUCUUCUGAUUCUCUGCUGCCCCUGGCAUGACAACUGGCAGAAGAAGAAUGUUAUCUGCUAGGAAACGGAGCCUUAUACAGGUCACCAGAAUCCUCGUGAUCAGCCCAAUUCUUAUGCUGAGCCUGCUUAAUUCGGAAACUAUCCUCCUCUUCAUAGUCCUGAGUGCUCCU